rnacentral:lncRNA from 1 species
AAAAAACAUCUGUGGCUACAGUUCACCAAAGCCUCUGCUUAAGAGACAGGAGGACGCUCUUGCAGAUGAAGGAUAGAGGAAGGAGUUAGCAUUUGCCAUGGAGGCAUUAGGGGCAGUCGCAGCACUUCUCUGCACCAUUACGGGACAUCAUACUUUCCCUGCGGCUCCAUGCGACCAAAAGUAGUAACCACCUGGAGAUACUCUGCCUUGAAGGGACCCCUGGACACUUGGCCCUACGGAAUAGGGGAACUUUUCUGCGCUGAGCUUCUAAAGUCAGCUUCUGAUGCUGUGAAACAUGCAGCGAAAGAAAGAUAUGCCCUCCUCUGGCAUCUUUGAAGUUCUUUAGUGCUGGAAGCGACUGAGCAUCACCAAGUCUAAGGCUGUUUUCUGCUCAGCAGAUGGGAGAAACCCCAAUGAACACAUCUGCUGCUCACUGCAAGUGGCUCUUUCCUCUGAUCUGGAGCCAUGGAGCAAAGCAGCUCAGCCUUUCCAUCUGUGCAUCGCUUACUCCUCAGCUGGAAGCUCUCAUAAGACAGGCGCAUUAGGAGCUGACUACGGACACUGCAGAAGCAGGGUCCAACUCCACCCAGGCAUGGCCCAGUAGGCUGGACACAAAGCGCUUUCCAUUUAGCACUCUGCUGUGCCUCAUGAAUGCGGCCCUGUGACACCACUGUGGCACCACACGAACAGGCCCCAGCUGCGGGGCCUGAAGGCAACUGCACUCAAGCAUCAUGUUACAGCACUUUGAGAAAUAACCUGCCUGCACCUUCCAGCCACUAUUACAAUCAUGAUACCCCUUUUUUCCCUAAAACA